rnacentral:lncRNA from 1 species
CAUUAACUCCCUGGGUCUUACUCUCCUCAUGUACAUAACUAAGGAAACAUUCUCUAUGGUCCCUUACGACCUGGAAACUGUCUAUUUCAUUGCUUCCUUAACACGCUUGAUUUUUAAGCCACAAACCCCACUUUAGGCUCUCCAUCUCCUUCCUUACAUGCCCCACCUCCAUCCAAAUAGCACUGGGAUGAUUUGGUUUGACAUAAGUCCAAUGUGCUUGUGUGUGUGCACAUGCAUGUGUGUGUGAGAGGGAAAAGAGGAAGAGAGAAACUGAGGGAGUGAGGGGGACGAGGAGAGGGAAAGGACAGAUAUUGAGUCAAUUCCUGGACAUCCUUCCCUUCCCAUUUCUAUCCUUNNNNNNNNNNNNNNNNNNNNNUUGGAGGUAUAAUUUUAAGAUGUUCACAAUGUUAAAUUUCUAUAUGGUAAUUAACUUUCUAAAAUUGUUUAAGAAUACUCAGAACAGAGGGGGGAAAGGUAAGGAAAAAGUUAGGGCCAAGAAGAUAUACGUUAUCUUAAAAAGGCUAAAUCUCAGUACCUUAACCCAGCUUGGUGGAAUAAGGCUUAACAAAGUUGAAAAGGGGGACAUCUACUUUGAAGUGAGAUACAACCUGAACUUCUUUGGUCAAGAGAAUAGAGGAACUAUAGUUACAAAAGCAUUUGAAGUUACUGCAAAGCUAUGGAAAUAUGUAACAAAAAUAAUCAGCACUGAGAAUACAAUAAUGCCAGGACCAGUCUUCUACUGGUCCCUGGGGCAGGAACCAGAUGGCCUAAAAGACCAAUUCCCAUCUCUUAAUUCCUCUGAUGGAUAAGGAAGGAUAUGUUUCCAUUUAGUUCUCACAAACAAUGACCCCUUUUCUCUUCGGUGGACAAAGUUGAUGUACUACCACUUUUGCUUCCAGAUAUUAAGCUCGUAUUUAAUGAUAUGUGUGCUUGGUAAUGUAUGCAUCCAAAAACUUUCACUGACAAAAACGGUCCUGCAUUCAUCUAUUUGUCUUUCAGCUGCUGCACACAAAUGCAGCAGAGAAGUGGGGGAUUUAAAUGCAUGGCAGGCGGCUGAUGUAUUUUUCCAUAAACUAGUCUACAUAUCACGGCAAGGGGAGAAGCAAAGAAAACCUCAGAUGCAUUCUUCCCCAUAAAGAGGUGAAUGAAGCCAAGGGGCAGAGUAGUAAGGAGGAAAAUAAAAGGGUAAAAUGAGAUUACUAGUGCAUAUCCUUUUAAAAGCAAAUCAAGAGAACCAUUCUCCUUGCCAAUAUCGGAGAUGGG